AGAGUACUCCCUCCGUUCGGAAUUACUUGUCGCAGAAAUGGAUGUAUCUAGACGUAUUUUAGUUCUAGAUACAUCCAUUUCCGAGACAAGUAAUUCCGAAUGGAGGGAGUAGAUA
rfam:Triticum aestivum genome assembly, contig: Triticum_aestivum_CS42_TGACv1_scaffold_019695_1AS